AUGCUUACCUUGCAGGGGAGAUACCAUGAUCAGGAGGGAGGCUUGCCCAGGGCAGGGCUCAUCCAUUGCAACUUCCCCAAAUAUGGGAAACUCAACUUCAUAAAUUGUGGUGGUGGGAGACGGUUUCCAUACUGUCUCCUG
rnacentral:snRNA from 1 species